rnacentral:rRNA from 1 species
GCAAGUCGAACGAUGAAGCCUUUCGGGGUGGAUUAGUGGCGAACGGGUGAGUAACACGUGGGCAAUCUGCCCUUCACUCUGGGACAAGCCCUGGAAACGGGGUCUAAUACCGGAUAACACUCUGUCCCGCAUGGGACGGGGUUAAAAGCUCCGGCGGUGAAGGAUGAGCCCGCGGCCUAUCAGCUUGUUGGUGGGGUAAUGGCCUACCAAGGCGACGACGGGUAGCCGGCCUGAGAGGGCGACCGGCCACACUGGGACUGAGACACGGCCCAGACUCCUACGGGAGGCAGCAGUGGGGAAUAUUGCACAAUGGGCGAAAGCCUGAUGCAGCGACGCCGCGUGAGGGAUGACGGCCUUCGGGUUGUAAACCUCUUUCAGCAGGGAAGAAGCGAAAGUGACGGUACCUGCAGAAGAAGCGCCGGCUAACUACGUGCCAGCAGCCGCGGUAAUACGUAGGGCGCAAGCGUUGUCCGGAAUUAUUGGGCGUAAAGAGCUCGUAGGCGGCUUGUCACGUCGGAUGUGAAAGCCCGGGGCUUAACCCCGGGUCUGCAUUCGAUACGGGCUAGCUAGAGUGUGGUAGGGGAGAUCGGAAUUCCUGGUGUAGCGGUGAAAUGCGCAGAUAUCAGGAGGAACACCGGUGGCGAAGGCGGAUCUCUGGGCCAUUACUGACGCUGAGGAGCGAAAGCGUGGGGAGCGAACAGGAUUAGAUACCCUGGUAGUCCACGCCG